rnacentral:lncRNA from 1 species
AUUUCCUUGGCCAUAGGUGAGUUUACGGCCGUAAACUCCUAUGGUAUGGCCGUAAACUCCCUUUUAAGUGUUAUAAUUUCAUUCAAUUAAUUCCAAGGCAUUUUAGAAAUCCAUUCCUACAAUCCCCAUGUCCAUUUAAGCCAUUUAAACACCCAAAACCACACCCACAUGAGUUUACGGCUGUAAACUCAUGUAUGUGUAUGUUUUGUGGUUGUAAACUCAUUUAAAUGUUUACUUAUGGAGAGUAAGCUCAAGUCCCAAGUCCCUAGUGCCAUUACAAGUCCGAAGAUAUCACCCGGGUCACUCCAAACGCUCAUUUUGAGGUGUUUAACCUCAUUCGAGUGUAAUGUUCCAUAUGAUUGGUGAAUGUAUCCCUAAUUGUAUAUAUAAGGACAUUAUUUCAUUUUACAUAGGGUCAUCGCGAGUAAACAAUCCCCGAAUCAACGUCUAGUAUCCAAAACCGACACAUUCCCGGGUCCGGUGAGUUCAUACCCCUACCCUUUUUACUGUUUUUCACUGUUUUCGGGGGAGGAACACAAGCAAAGUACAAGGGUUUUCUUGUACUCAAAANNNNNNNNNNNNNNNNNNNNNNNNNNNNNNNNNNNNNNNNNNNNNNNNNNNNNNNNNNNNNNNNNNNNNNNNNNNNNNNNNNNNNNNNNNNNNNNNNNNNUUCCUUGAUAAAGCAUUGACUUGGUGGAAUGGCCAAGUCAAAUCCGUAACUCUCCCUGUAGCCAACGCCAUGGGAUGGGAGACUAUGAAAGAACUCCUCCUUGCUGAAUAUUGUCCCCGAGGUGAAAUGCAAAAGCUAGAGCACGAGCUCUGGAACCUGAAGAUGAAAGGUUCCGAUAUUACUGCAUACACUUCCCGAUUUGAUGAUCUUGCCCUUCUCGUCCCUGGACUAGUCACCCCUGAAAGCAAAAAGAUCGAGAGGUUUAUUUGGGGGUUAACCAAUCCAACCAAAGGUCAUGUCUUAGCUGCUCGCCCAGAUACUUAUGAUAGUGCUAAGACUUUAGCCCAAGCUAUAAUUCACCACAGUGAUGAUGUUGAGGAAGCCACCACUGCUACCCCUGAGUCGAUCAAAAGCAAUGGUGAGAAAAGAAAAUUCUGGAAGAAGAAGAAGGGUCAAUCUUCCCAAGGCUCCUCCAAAAGACAACAAACAGUAGCAGUUCAUGCUGCUACUAUCCCCGUAGCUGUUGCUUCCGUUGUGGGNACCAACUCCUACCAGCCGAUAUGUUGGUAACCUCCCUCUUUGGGAAAAAUGCAAGUAUCACCACAACCCUGGUCCCUGUCGAGAACUAUCCUGUACCAAUUGUGGUAAGAAGGGGCACACUGUUCGAUACUGCAAGGCUCCGGCUCAAUCAACAAAUCAAUCUUCUGGAACAGGCAUUGGUCAAGCUUGUUAUAACUGUGGUGAAGCCGGGCACUUUAAGAGGAACUGCCCCAAGAAGACUACUGCUGGCAACACAGGAAGGGUCCUUGCUAUGGGACGGGAAGAAGCAGUCGCUGAUCCCAAUGUUGUCUCGGGUACGUUUCUUCUCGACAACUCGUAUGCUAAUAUUCUUUUCGAUUCGGGCGCUGAAAGAAGUUUUAUUAGUCAUGCAUUCAAACAUAACCUAAAACAUGAUUCCCAACCUCUAACUGAAAUAUUUACCGUCGAAAUGGCAAACGGAGAGAAAGAAAGUGCGAGUGAGGUAUUCGUAGAUUGCACUCUUACCUUAAACGACCAUUCAUUUCCUAUCGAUCUUAUGCCCGUAUCCAUAAAGAGCUUUGAUGUCAUUAUUGGCAUGGAUUGGUUGAGUCCCAAUCAUGCAGAUAUCCUUUGCUUCGAAAAAGCCAUCCGUCUUAACCUUCCUUCGGGUCAAACUCUAGUGAUCUAUGGCGAUAAACUCGGUUCCAACCUUCGUAUCAUUUCCUGCAUCAAAGCUCAGAAACUCCUGCGAAAGGAGUGUAUUGCAUUCUUAGCCCAUGUAAUCAAUGAGAAACAAGAAGUUAAAGACCUCGCGAGCAUCCCCGAGGUCUGUAAUUUUCCUGAUGUGUUUCCCGAAGAGCUUCCAGGAAUUCCUCCCGAACGUCAGGUCGAGUUCCGUAUUGACCUAAUUCCUGGGGCUACUCCUAUAGCAAAGUCUCCGUAUCGCUUAGCUCCAGCAUAAAUGCAGGAACUAUCCAGUCAACUUAACGAGCUGCUUAGCAAAGGAUUCAUUAGACCGAGUUCCUCACCUUGGGGAGCUCCGGUUUUGUUUGUCAAGAAGAAGGAUGGAUCCUUUCGUAUGUGUAUUGAUUAUCGUGAGCUAAACAAGUUGACUGUCAAAAACCGAUAUCCUCUUCCUCGAAUAGAUGACCUUUUCGAUCAACUCCAGGGAGCCAGUUACUUCUCUAAGAUAGACCUUCGGUCAGGGUACCAUCAGUUGCGAGUUCAUGAAAGUGAUGUGCCCAAAACAGCUUUCAGGACUCGAUAUGGACACUACGAGUUCGUAGUGAUGCCCUUUGGUUUAACCAACGCACCGGCAGUGUUUAUGGAUCUGAUGAACCGGGUGUGUCGUCCUUAUUUGGAUAAGUUUGUCAUAGUAUUCAUCGAUGACAUACUCGUCUAUUCCCGAAGUGAAGAAGACCACAAACAACACUUGAGGCUAGUGUUGGAGACCCUGCGAUCCGAGAAGUUAUACGCGAAGUUUUCAAAAUGUGAGUUCUGGAUACGGAAGGUAACUUUCCUUGGUCAUGUGGUAAGUGAGGAAGGUAUUCAUGUUGAUCCUUCCAAGAUUAAGGCAAUAGAGAAUUGGUCAGCACCGAAGACACCCACAGAAAUCCGACAAUUCUUGGGUCUCGCUGGCUAUUAUCGAAGGUUCAUCCAAAACUUUUCCAGAAUCGCCAAACCUCUAACCACUCUAACACAGAAAGGUGUACCCUUUUGUUGGGGUGAUAAACAAGAAACCGCAUUUCAGACGUUGAAGAAAGCUUUGUGCAGCGCACCUGUCCUGUCCCUACCCGAAGGGACAGAGGACUUUGUUGUCUACUGCGAUGCGUCUACUCAAGGUUUAGGCUGUGUGCUUAUGCAGAGAGGAAAAGUAAUUGCUUAUGCCUCUAGGCAGUUGAAAGCACACGAGGUCAACUAUACCACACACGACUUGGAGCUAGGAGCCGUAGUUUUUGCAUUGAAGAUUUGGAGGCAUUACCUUUACGGAACCAAGUGCACGAUCUUCACCGACCAUAAGAGCCUACAACAUAUCUUCGACCAAAAAGACUUGAAUAUGAGACAAAGGCGAUGGGUAGAAUUACUCAGUGAUUAUGAGUGUGAAAUCCGUUACCAUCCCGGCAAGGCCAAUGUGGUAGCAGAUGCCCUUAGCCGAAAGGAGAGUACCAGCAACAAGGUGAAGAGCCAGUCGAUAACCAUCCAUUCCAACCUACCCAUGCAAAUCCGAGAAGCUCAGUUAGAAGCCCUGAAACCCGAGAACAUGACAACUGAAGCUUUGAGAGGGAUGGAAAAGAAACUUGAGAUCAGAAGUGACGGAGUCCAUUGUUUUAUGGAUCGAAUCUGGAUUCCCAAGUCCGGAGGAUUUAGAGAAUUAGUCAUGGAGGAAGCACAUAGAACCAGAUACUCUGUUCACCCGGGCUCUGACAAGAUGUACUUAGAUCUCAAGAAACAAUAUUGGUGGCCAAACAUGAAAGCUGAGAUAGCUACAUUCGUGGGCAAGUGCUUGACUUGCGCCAAAGUCAAAGUCGAACAUCAGAAACCUUCAGGUCUGCUUCAACAACCCGAGAUCCCCGAGUGGAAAUGGGAGAUGAUUACCAUGGACUUCAUCACCAAACUACCCAAGUGUUCUAGUGGGUACGAUACCAUUUGGGUAAUUGUCGAUCGUUUGACAAAAUCCGCUCACUUCAUUCCAAUUAAAGAAUCAUACAAGAUGGAAAGACUUGCGCGAAUCUACAUCCAGGAGGUAGUACGUCUACACGGUGUACCUGUAUCCAUUAUCUCUGAUCGAGAUAGCAGGUUUACCUCCAGAUUCUGGCAAUCCCUUCAGAAAGCCCUUGGAACCAAACUAGAUAUGAGCACGGCAUAUCAUCCUCAGACCGAUGGACAGAGUGAGAGAACAAUCCAAACCCUGGAGGACAUGCUUAGGGCAUGUGUCAUUGACUUUGGAAAAUCGUGGGAUACACAUCUAUCCUUGAUCGAAUUCUCGUACAACAACAGUUACCACACCAGCAUUAGGGCUGCUCCGUUCGAAGCCCUAUACGGUCGUAAGUGCAGAUCCCCUCUGUGCUGGGCCGAGGUGGGGGAUACACAGUUAGCCAGGAGUCAAGUCCCCGACAGUGCUCUCACUGGUCCUGAAAUCAUCCGCGAAACCACCGAAAAGAUCAUUCAAAUCCGUAACCGACUGAAAGCCUCACGUGAUCGUCAAAAGAGUUACGCUGAUAAUCGUCGGAAACCACUAGAAUUCCAGGUUGGAGACCGUGUUCUGUUAAAAGUCUCGCCCUGGAAAGGCACUGUACGCUUUGGUAAGCGUGGGAAACUUAAUCCAAGGUACAUUGGACCCUUUGAGAUCCUCUCCAGGAUCGGUCCAGUUGCCUAUAAACUUCAUUUACCUCACGAACUCAGUAACAUUCAUCCUGUCUUCCAUGUUUCAAAUCUCAAAAAGUGCCUAUCCGAUGAAACCCUAACAAUUCCCUUAGACGAGAUCGAGAUCAAUGAAAACAUUAACUUUAUGGAGGAGCCGAUUGAAAUCAUGGAUCGAGAAGUCAAACGUACAAAACAAAGUCGCAUCCCGUUAGUGAAAGUUCGCUGGAAUGCCAAGCGGGGACCGGAAUUCACUUGGGAACGGGAAGAUUCAAUGAAACAGAAGUAUCCACAACUCUUUUCUGAUCCAUGAUUUGUAUCUUGUCUUGUGUUUUAAACUUUGAAUUUCGGGACGAAAUUCCCUUUAACGGGGGGAUAAUGUAACAACCCGAAAUUUCCGUAUCAAUUAUUGUAACUCUUUCGUAGUCCAAUUCGCGCAACCAAUCGUCAUUCCAAAUUCGAUUUCCGAUCUUCCGUAUAAUUAAGUCAUUUAUUAGUACACAUUUAAAAUGACUUAAUGGGUGUCUUAAUACAUUUAGAAAUCAUUUUAACACCCAACUUUAGUGAUCGGAAUAUUUCUAGAAAUUACCGUAUCGGGUUACGGUAACUCAAUCGGGUACGACCAAAAGCCUCGUCUAACGCCGGUAUCGGGUAGAAUUCCUCCGUGUCCAAAACUUAAACACUAUAUAAACAUGUUUAAGACUCCAUUUGAAGCCUUUGGUCAAAUUACCAUUAAACACUCACAACCUCUCUCCUCAACCCAAAAUCAAGGUCCAAAACAAAGAAUUAAGGCUUGAAAUCAAAGAGGUAACACCCCUAACUUGUUAUUCAACCUCUUUAGCCUUCAAUUUUGUGUUUAAUUUGUGAUUUGGGACCAAGAACAUGAGUUUACGGCCAAGGAACUAGCUUGGGCCGUAAACUCCUAUCAAUGGGGUUUUUAAGCCCUAAAACCCCCUCCUAAGCAAUGUUAGACAUUAGUAAUGGCUUAAUGACUUAAUGGAAGGGACUUACAACAAUUAAAACAUUGAUUUUAAGUGACAAAAGUGAGUUUACGGCCAAGACACAUUCUUGGGCCGUAAACUCAUAUUCAAAGGGUUUUUGAGCCAAUUAACCCUUCCAAAUCAUAGUUGGGACUUAGAUAUGACUUGUGGGACAUUGGUUUUAGCAUCUAAACACCUUAAACAUGAUUUUUGGGGGACAAAAGAGAGUUUACGGCCAAGACAUAUUCUUGGGCCGUAAACUCCUCUUAAUUGGGGAUUUAGAGCCUUAAAACUUGUCCAAAUGCCUUGAAACUCAACCAAUGGCCUUGUGGUAAAAUCUAGAUGCAUCUAAAAAUAGUUUAAGGGUUUGAAACAUAUCAAAAGUAUCAUUUACAAGAGUUUACGGCCUAGGAGCAUACCCUUGGCCGUAAACUCAUAAAACCUUGUCAAAUGAUGCAUUAAACCACCCCAAAUGGCUUGUUCAAAUUUUUAGAAUCACAUGUGAUUGUUUUAAGCAUCAAAAACUAACUUUUCUUGGGGUAUCAUAGAGUUUACGGCCUUAGAACAUGCCUCUAGGCCGUAAACUCCAAAAUGUAUGCAAAAUGAUGUUUAAAUUCAUGACAAAGCUUGGAAAAUUAACUAGAAUGACAUGUGAUUGUCCUUUGAAGCUCAAAUCAAUUUUCCUUGGCCAUAGGUGAGUUUACGGCCGUAAACUCCUACGGUAUGGCCGUAAACUCCCUUUUAAGUGUUAUAAUUUCAUUCACUUAAUUCCAAGGCAUUUUAGAAAUCCAUUCCAACAAUCCCCAUGUCCAUUUAAGCCAUUUAAACACCCAAAANCACACCAACAUGAGUUUACGGCCGUAAACUCAUGUGUGGGUGUGUUUUGUGGUUGUAAACUCAUUUAAAUGUUUACUUUUGGAGAGUAAACUCAAGUCCCAAGUCCCUAGUGCCAUUACAAGUCCGAAGAUGUCACCCGGGUCACUCCAAACGCUCGUUUUGAGGUGUUUAACCUCAUUGGAGUGUAAUGUUCCAUAUGAUUAGUGAAUGUAUCCCUAAUUGUAUAUAUAUGGACAUUAUUUCAUUUUACAUAGGGUCAUCGCGAGUAAACAAUCCCCGAAUCAACGUCUAGUAUCCAAAACCGACACAUUCCCGAGUC